rnacentral:rRNA from 1 species
UACGUAGGCAGCGAGCGUUGUUCGGAGUUACUGGGCGUAAAGCGUGCGUAGGCGGUGUCUUAAGUUUGUUGUGAAAUCUCCCGGCUUAACCGGGAGGGUGCGGCGAAUACUGAGAUGCUGGAGUGCCGGAGAGGUAAGCGGAAUUCCUGGUGUAGCGGUGAAAUGCGUAGAUAUCUGGAGGAACACCGGUGGCGAAGGCGGCAUCCUGGACCGACACUGACGCUGAUGCGCGAAAGCGUGGGUAGCAAACAGG